GUAUCCGUUAUCUACGGCUAGGUCUGGGCUGCAUUUUUGUGUACACACGGGCAAUAAACGUAGCCGUAGCUCUGAAGGCCCAUUUUGGACAAGGCUAGCGCUUUCGAUUCAUUAUCGUGUUUUGGGUUACGAGGUGAAAAAAGUCUGCUUCACGCAUCGACAGCAUUGGAAGUUCUACGGUGUAACACCUCCACUACUCAGCUUCAGUAACCAUCAUCAUCAUCAUCAUGCGAGAGAAUUGAACUGAUUGUUUACCAACAUGUACUGGUAGGAGAAAACCACAAUGGAUCCAUCCAAAGUGCCCUAUCCUGUCAGUAUUAGCGUCUGCACACGUACCGGUGAUGUUCCAUCCAACGUAAUCACCACUCCAACAACUAUGGUUGGCUUCCAACUACAAGCCAACCCUAAUCCCAUACAAGUUGCAGCCCCCUCAGAGAGUAAAAUUCCGAUUUCAGCAGCUAUUCCAGCUAUGUUGACUACACCCCUGGAUUACAAUGGCAGCCAACCAACUGUGGUCCAUGUUGCACCAUCGAUGAUGGCUGUGGAUAGAGUCUUGAAUGCAUUGAGUGACCAAGAUCAAGCUAGCUCAGAUCUUGAGGUUCAGUCAGUUAUGUGUCCAGAGACCAGAAAUUUAUUGCCAACACUGAAGCCAGUUUGCACCAGCAGGUCUUCAUCGUCAAGUAAAUCCAGCAAAUCUAGCUAUUCUCCAAUGAGGUUACAGAUAUCAAUGACGAAUACCAAGCGAGGAAAUGUUCAAAGUGUAACACCUACAUGUCUCUAUAAUUACAGUAUUCACCAGCUGGCUGCUCAAGGUGAGAUUGCCGUCCUUGAAGAGAAGUUCCAGGAGGAACUUGACAUUGAUGAGCUCGACGCAGACGGCUGCACUCCUCUGAUGUGGGCGUGUGCUCACCAGCAGACGGACAUCGUCCAGCAUCUCCUGGCCCAUGGCGCUGAUGUCACUAAGGAAAGUGUAGAUGGAGAGACUGCCUUAGCCUUUGCUAGCAGUGUUGGAUGUAUUGAUAUCAUCCGUUUAUUGCUCACUGAGGGAGCAGAUGUUAAUAAAUCUGAUUGGAAUGAAGGAACACCACUGCUGUAUGCUGUGUAUAAAAACCAUCCCGUAUGUGUACGUCUGCUCUUGGAGGCUGGAGCUGACUUAACUGUACAAACGGAAGGUGGACACACCCCUUUAAGUCUUGCUGUUGCCCUUGGUCAUAGAGAAGUGCAACUUACAAUCGAGAAGCACAUGAUAUCUCUUCUGCAGAAUGGCUAACGACAUCAAUGACCUAGAGUUCAAUGGAAUAUGUAAGGCAGACAGCAAAACUGAGGUUUGUGCAAAAAAUAGAACCUGCAUGGACUAUCCGCCCUGAGCAGGACCAAGAGAGGGGGUGAUUUUCCUAGCAAUGGAGGCUUCUUUGGUGGAAACUGCACAU
rnacentral:misc_RNA from 1 species